rnacentral:rRNA from 1 species
AUGAAACACUCCUACGGGAGGCAGCAGUGGGGAAUAUUGCGCAAUGGGGGCAACCCUGACGCAGCCAUGCCGCGUGAAUGAAGAAGGCCUUCGGGUUGUAAAGUUCUUUCGGUGACGAGGAAGGUUGUUGUGUUAAUAGCGCAACAAAUUGACGUUAAUCACAGAAGAAGCACCGGCUAACUCCGUGCCAGCAGCCGCGGUAAUACGGAGGGUGCGAGCGUUAAUCGGAAUAACUGGGCGUAAAGGGCACGCAGGCGGCUAUUUAAGUGAGGUGUGAAAUCCCCGGGCUUAACCUGGGAAUUGCAUUUCAGACUGGGUAGCUAGAGUACUUUAGGGAGGGGUAGAAUUCCACGUGUAGCGGUGAAAUGCGUAGAGAUGUGGAGGAAUACCGAAGGCGAAGGCAGCCCCUUGGGAAUGUACUGACGCUCAUGUGCGAAAGCGUGGGGAGCAAACAGGAUUAGAAACCCUAGUAGUCCGAAGUUC